UACGUAGGGUGCAAGCGUUUAAUCGGAAUUACUGGGCGUAAAGCGUGCGCAGGCGGUUCGCUGUGUCCGAUGUGAAAGCCCCGGGCUUAACCUGGGAAUGGCAUUGGAAACUGGCGGGCUUGAGUGUGGCAGAGGGGGUGGGAAUUCCGCGUGUAGCAGUGAAAUGCGCAGAUAUCAGGAGGAACACCGGUGGCGAAGGCGGGUCUCUGGGCCGAUACUGACGCUGAGGAGCGAAAGCGUGGGGAGCGAACAGG
rnacentral:rRNA from 1 species